CAGGCUUAACACAUGCAAGUCGAGGGGCAGCAUGGUCUUAGCUUGCUAAGGCCGAUGGCGACCGGCGCACGGGUGAGUAACACGUAUCCAACCUGCCGUCUACUCUUGGACAGCCUUCUGAAAGGAAGAUUAAUACAAGAUGGCAUCAUGAGUCCGCAUGUUCACAUGAUUAAAGGUAUUCCGGUAGACGAUGGGGAUGCGUUCCAUUGGAUAGUAGGCGGGGUAACGGCCCACCUAGUCUUCGAUGGAUAGGGGUUCUGAGAGGAAGGUCCCCCACAUUGGAACUGAGACACGGUCCAAACUCCUACGGGAGGCAGCAGUGAGGAAUAUUGGUCAAUGGGCGAGAGCCUGAACCAGCCAAGUAGCGUGAAGGAUGACUGCCCUAUGGGUUGUAAACUUCUUUUAUAAAGGAAUAAAGUCGGGUAUGGAUACCCGUUUGCAUGUACUUUAUGAAUAAGGAUCGGCUAACUCCGUGCCAGCAGCCGCGGUAAUACGGAGGAUCCGAGCGUUAUCCGGAUUUAUUGGGUUUAAAGGGAGCGUAGAUGGAUGUUUAAGUCAGUUGUGAAAGUUUGCGGCUCAACCGUAAAAUUGCAGUUGAUACUGGAUAUCUUGAGUGCAGUUGAGGCAGGCGGAAUUCGUGGUGUAGCGGUGAAAUGCUUAGAUAUCACGAAGAACUCCGAUUGCGAAGGCAGCCUGCUAAGCUGCAACUGACAUUGAGGCUCGAAAGUGUGGGUAUCAAACAGGAUUAGAUACCCUGGUAGUCCACACGGUAAACGAUGAAUACUCGCUGUUUGCGAUAUACUGCAAGCGGCCAAGCGAAAGCGUUAAGUAUUCCACCUGGGGAGUACGCCGGCAACGGUGGAACUCAAAGGAAUUGACGGGGGCCCGCACAAGCGGAGGAACAUGUGGUUUAAUUCGAUGAUACGCGAGGAACCUUACCCGGGCUUAAAUUGCAGAUGAAUUACGGUGAAAGCCGUAAGCCGCAAGGCAUCUGUGAAGGUGCUGCAUGGUUGUCGUCAGCUCGUGCCGUGAGGUGUCGGCUUAAGUGCCAUAACGAGCGCAACCCUUGUUGUCAGUUACUAACAGGUUCCGCUGAGGACUCUGACAAGACUGCCAUCGUAAGAUGUGAGGAAGGUGGGGAUGACGUCAAAUCAGCACGGCCCUUACGUCCGGGGCUACACACGUGUUACAAUGGGGGGUACAGAGGGCCGCUACCACGCGAGUGGAUGCCAAUCCCCAAAACCUCUCUCAGUUCGGACUGGAGUCUGCAACCCGACUCCACGAAGCUGGAUUCGCUAGUAAUCGCGCAUCAGCCACGGCGCGGUGAAUACGUUCCCGGGCCUUGUACACACCGCCCGUCAAGCCAUGGGAGCCGGGGGUACCUGAAGUGCGUAACCGCGAGGAGCGCCCUAGGGUAAAACUGGUGACUGGGGCUAAGUC
rnacentral:rRNA from 1 species